rnacentral:lncRNA from 1 species
AUGUACCAUGUGAUCACCCGACCCCCUUGAACCUUUCUGCUUUGAUGUUUGAGGCCAUGAGGGAGACUCUGAACAGGUCUAAGGCUCACUUGCCUUAUGGUAUGGUACUCACCCUGAUCUUUAGGAGGUUCGGAGUCUGUUUUGAGGGGGAGAUAGUCACCAAAUUAUCACACUCUGACACCAUCAAUCGCCACACACUGCACUGCAUGGAUUUCUCAAAGACUGAUGGUGGUUGGUCGAAGGGUGUUGAGGAAAGAAC